CAGCAGUGGGGAAUAUUGGACAAUGGGCGAAAGCCUGAUCCAGCAAUGCCGCGUGUGUGAAGAAGGCCUGCGGGUUGUAAAGCACUUUCAGUAGGGAAGAAAAGCCUAAGGUUAAUACCCUUGAGUCUUGACGUUAUCUACAGAAGGAGCACCGGCUAACUCCGUG
rnacentral:rRNA from 1 species